AUCCCAUGAUGAGGACAGGCGAGUAUGUACUCUUCCAACCUUUCCCAACCUUCUGGGAUGGAAUCCAUCCCCGUCUACUGGAAACUUGAAAUUCUUCCACGCAGGGC